rnacentral:antisense_RNA from 1 species
AAAAUUUGUAUAGAGAAAGAAUAAAAGAACAUAGUUAUGAAUGCUUUUGAUAAAUUUAUUCUUCAUCAUCAUCAUCCUCUUCUUCUUCCUCUUCAUCAUCUUCCUCUUCAUCGUCAUCAUCCUCUACAUCCUCAUCUCCACCUUGAGUUGGUUCCUGUUCGUCACCUUCCUCGUCAUCAUCAUCAUCAUCAUCAUCAUCAUCAUCUUCCUCUUCAUCAUCAUCCUCUUCAUCAUCAAUAUCAUCCAAUUCUUCCUCUUCUGAUGGCAAUCCAUCAAAGUCGUCUUCUUCUACAUCAACCUCGACAGAAUUCUUUUUUAGGCUAGUUUCCUCCUCAUUUCCUUCAGAGUCUACCUCAGUCUCCUGUACACGCUUUCUCUUAUCGCCUGCCAUCUCUAGUUUUAUAAAAAAAAUUACUUAAAAAAAUAACUUUUUAG